UUUUCAAGAAAAUGACAAUAAUACCCUCAAAAAAUUUUGUUUGGCGUGCUGAUUUCCCUCUCCUUAUGUACUACCCUCUGUCAACCUUGCCUCCUUUCUUCAAAAAUAAAAAAAAUAAAAACCUUGCCUUCAUUUUUCUGUAAUCUCAUCUCCAUCAUUUCUACUCUCUCUAUUCUAUGGUCUACAAAGCAAGUGAUGGCUCGCAUCCCUUUAAGUAAACAAAAGAAGAUUGCAAUGACUUGUAUUGUGAUAUAUAGGCAGAUUAUGGUCAUGAUUAUGGCUACAUUACUUCAACUCAUGUAUCUUCUUUCCAUUACAAAUAUUAAAGUUCCUAAGCCAAUAUCUUUUGUGUUUGAUGAUACACUUGAAAACCGGAUAACCGCUAGAAUUUUAAAUGUUAGACCUAUGAUCCAAGGGAGUGACAUAGCAUGUUUGGAUAACCUUAGAAUGGAUAGGGCUUGUUUUUAUAAGUUAUGUGAGAUGCUUAGGGAUGUUGGCAAGUUGCAAGGAAAUAGGAACACUAGUUUGGAUGAAAUGGUGGCUUUAUUUCUCUUUACACUUUCUCAUGAUACAAAAAUCGAAGAAUUCGGUAACACUUUAGAAUAAGUGGUGAGACUGUUUCAAGGCAUUUCAAUUUAGUAUUACAAGCUCUCCUUAGAUGUCAUCAUAUCUUGUUCAAAAAAAACCUACAGCAGUGACUAAAAAUUGUCAAGAUGAUAGGUGGAAGUGGUUUAAAGUAAGUGAUCUUUGCUAUGCAAAUUAAAUAUUAAUAUAUGUUUGAAGAUUUGGUUUAGUGAUAAAUGGGAUUUUUUUUUCUUUGUAGAAUUGCUUAGGUGCUUUGGAUGGCACACACUUUAAGGUUCGUGUAGGUGAUAAGGACAAAGUUAGGUUCAGAAACAGAAAAGGAGAUCUUACUACCAAUGUCUUCGCUGCUUGUACGCGGGAUAUGCAAUUUAUAUAUUUAUUACCUAGUUGGGAGGGUUCGGCACAUGAUAAUAGAGUACUACAUGAUGCCUUGUCUAGACAAAGUCCAUUAAAAGUCCUCAAGGUUAUAGAGUUAGUUAUUUUUUCUAUACAUCAUAUAACAACUCUAUGAAAUAGAAAUGAUUAUAGCUUUUAUUGUUUGGUAUUAGGUUAAUUAUUAUUUAUGUGAUGCUGAGUGCAUGAAUUGUGAGGGUUUUUUAACACCAUUUAGAGGCCAAAGGUACCACUUGAGCAUUUGGAAAAGUGGUGCUCUUCCUGUGUCAGCAGGUGAAUAUUUCAACAUGAAGCAUUCUCAGGCAAGGAACGUCAUAGAGAGAUGCUUUGGAUUACUAAACAUGAGAUGGGGUAUCCUAAGACAAAAAACUUGGUAUCCUCGAAAGACCGUCAGUCGAAUUAUCUUGGCUUGUGCUCUUGUGCAUAACUUCAUUCGCACUUAUAUGUCUAUUGAUCCUAUGGAGUCUCUACUUGAAGAUAACAUAGAAGAUGAUGGUGAUAAUAUUGAAAUUAUGGAAACAAGUGGAAUGUGGAAUGCUUUUAGACAGGAACUAGCAAAUGACAUGUAUAAUGCAUGGAUUCAAAGCAGAAACACUUGACUAAUUCUAGUUAAAAAAUUCUUUUCUCCUGAGCAUUUUUACUUGUAAUGCAUGAUAUUAAGUAUUGAAUGGUUUGUUUUGGCUUAUGUAAUGACAAUGUUUUGGCUUAUGUAAUGACAAUGUUUUGACUUAUGUAAUGCUUUGUUUUGGACA